CAAGAACACAGGUUCUUCACCAACACAUUCACACAUUUUCCUCCUCCCUGAAAAGGGAACUUCUUAACGUCGAAAACAGCGAAAUCUAAUACCAAAUGUAUACAUAAAAGAACACAGAAAGAGAAACAGCAGAAUUCUAGGAAAGAUGUUAUUAAGCUCAAUUUUGAGCUUAACACAGAAUGUUGUUAGCUCAAUGUAAGUUUUGCAAAGUUAACUCGUCUCGUUCCUUCCCUCUUCAUGCUUUCAUAGGACAUAUUUCGUUCACUCGUCAGAUGAUUUAUUAGUUGAUUCACCGCUCAUCUCCAAGAAGCACUGACAAAUGUCUGUCAUGACCUUCAUCACGGAAAAAUUAGGAUCGAGCUCUUUGUACUCUUUCUGACAUUUAUCGUCCAUUAACUUCACCACUGCAUCAAGAGUAGGCAUCUGGAAAUCUGAUCUUCCAAGGACCGAGCCAUAGGUCAAGAUCAUUUUCACCUCUCCAGAUUGUGAGGAAGCCAUCUCCAGGGCGGAAGAAGACUUAACUGUACUUGUUUCAGGCUUGCCAUUAGCUACAACUGGACUGGGUGGAUUUCCAUCAUUUGUAUCUGCUUCAACUACAGUGGCUGAUGCGUUACUAUCACCAUGUCUACCUUCUGAACCACUUGCAACUGAAGACUUCCCUUUACUUGAUGAACCUGGGCGGAUGAUGGCAACAGGAACUUCAAGACUUGGCAGGUCAUCAGUGAUUGGCUCAUCCUUAGGUUUGAUAAGAGUGUGAUUAGCAAUGGCAUUCUUCGUAGGUGACACUGGGAUGCCAGAACCAGAAGUAGAUCCAGCUCUCCUGGGAACUGGAAGGCUCUUGUCCACGUCAGAAGGCUGAGAUGAAGGCAGCUCUUCCUGUGGUACUAAUGAAUCGGCAAACAUGGGCUGCUUUCCUUUGUUUCUAUCAAGUGAUGGGUGUGAUCCAGGUUGUGAUUCAUUGCCCAUGGACUGAGGGGAAUCAAAAUCACCAGGUGACUGGUUUUGCAAAUGAGUCUCUUGAAUCUCAAUUGCAAAACCAGUCACCUGGUGA
rnacentral:misc_RNA from 1 species